rnacentral:snoRNA from 1 species
UGCCAUCGCUAAGUCAAGUCUCCUUCCUGCGGCUUUUGUGUCGUGCUAUUCUCUAUGGAAGUUUGUCUGUUACAGCUUUGGCAGAUUGACGCUUGCCCGCGCCGACCUUCAUUCUGAAGUUAGGCUGAUCGGUUUUCGUUUUGGAAGCCGGUCGCAAAGGGCCAAGCAGUGUUCUGUUUGUGAGUUGAGUGCUGCUUCUGCCACUUGGCAGCUUCGUGGCAGUCCUCUUAGUAACAUUUCACACAUCA